CCCCACUACCACUAUCAGAUUAGAGCCAUAAGGGACACUAGGAAUCUGCCACCCUACUACCAUUAUCAUAUUAGAGCCAUAAGGGACACUAGACAUCCACCACCCUACUGCCAUUAUCAUAUUAGAGCCAUAAGGGACACUAGACAUCCACCACCCUACUACCAUUAUCAUAUUAGAGCCAUAAGGGACACUAGACAUCCACCACCCUACUACCAUUAUCAUAUUAGAGCCAUAAUGGACACUAGGAAUCUACCACCCCACUACCACUAUCAGAUUAGAGCCAUAAGGGACACUAGGAAUCUACCACCCCACUACCACUUAUCAGAUUAGAGCCAUAAGGGACACUAGACAUCCACCACCCUACUGCCAUUAUCAUAUUAGAGCCAUAAGGGACACUAGACAUCCACCACCCUACUACCAUUAUCAUAUUAGAGCCAUAAGGGACACUAGACAUCCACCACCCUACUGCCAUUAUCAUAUUAGAGCCACAAGGGACACUAGGAAUCUACCACCCCACUACCACUAUCAGAUUAGAGCCAUAAGGGACACUAGGAAUCUGCCACCCCCACUACCACUAUCAGAUUAGAGCCAUAAGGGACACUAGGAAUCUGCCACCCCACACUCCUACUAUCAGAUUAGAGCCAUAAGGGACACUAGGAACCUGCCACCCUACUACCAUUAUCAUAUUAGAGCCAUAAGGGACACUAGACAUCCACCACCCUACUACCAUUAUCAUAUUAGAGCCAUUAGGGACACUAGGAAUCUACUACCCCACUACCAUUAUCAUAUUAGAGCCAUAUGGGACACUAGACAUCCACCACCCUACUACUACUAUCAGAUUAGAGCCAUAAGGGACACUAGGAAUCUGCCACCCCACUACCACUAUCAGAUUAGAGCCAUAAGGGACACUAGGAAUCUGCCACCCCCACUACCACUAUCAUAUUAGAGCCAUAAGGGACACUAGGAAUCUGCCACCCCCCACUACCAUUAUCAGAUUAGAGCCAUAAGGGACACUAG
ensembl:lncRNA